ensembl:snRNA U6 U6 spliceosomal RNA
UGCCUCUUCUCAAAUUGGCAGCGCAUAAUACUAAAAUUGGAACAAUACGGAGAUUAGCACGGCCCCUAAGAAAGAAUGACAAGUAAAUUCACAAAGCAUUCCAUAUUUUU